rnacentral:tRNA from 1 species
UAUAGAGUGCCUGAAUAAAGGAUAAUUUCGAUAAAAUUAAUAAUGUGUGCAUAACACCUCUAUAA